rnacentral:rRNA from 1 species
GAUGAACGCUGGCGGCGUGCCUAAUACAUGCAAGUCGAGCGAACGGACGAGAAGCUUGCUUCUCUGAUGUUAGCGGCGGACGGGUGAGUAACACGUGGAUAACCUACCUAUAAGACUGGGAUAACUUCGGGAAACCGGAGCUAAUACCGGAUGAUAUUUUGAACCGCAUGGUUCAAAAGUGAAAGACGGUCUUGCUGUCACUUAUAGAUGGAUCCGCGCUGCAUUAGCUAGUUGGUAAGGUAACGGCUUACCAAGGCAACGAUGCAUAGCCGACCUGAGAGGGUGAUCGGCCACACUGGAACUGAGACACGGUCCAGACUCCUACGGGAGGCAGCAGUAGGGAAUCUUCGGCAAUGGGCGAAAGCCUGACGGAGCAAUGCCGCGUGAGUGAUGAAGGUCUUCGGAUCGUAAAACUCUGUUAUUAGGGAAGAACAUAUGUGUAAGUAACUGUGCACAUCUUGACGGUACCUAAUCAGAAAGCCACGGCUAACUACGUG